AAAAAAAAAACAAAAAGAAAAAGAAAAGAAAAAAAUGAAACGACAAAAACAUCAUUCUUGCCGUCUCCGCCUUCAGUUUCGCCUGAGAAAACAAUUUCUUUAUUUUACCUGUCAGCCAAUGGAUCUCUUCCUUGAUACCUUUUCCUUUUCCUUCAUUCUUCUCGUUUCUACCUUCGAUUCCUAUUUAUUAUGAAUCUCUAAAUCUUCUGAGCUUAAUCCUAUGACCAUCAUAGAUUUGCUGGACUUGCUUUCAUAUUUUCAUCUACUAUCCUCCAUUCCUCCUACAGAUCCUGGCCUUGAGAUCGGAAACAUGUGUGAAACCAUCGGUGGCAGCCAUGACUUAUACGAAGGUGAUUUUCUAUUUUCUAUUCAGUUUGUUUGUAUGUUUGAUGAGUUUAAUAUUGACGUUCUAUACUAUGGUUUAUAUAGUAGUUGAUGUUGGCUUUGGGUGAAAGGUAGAAUAUUCGCUGCAUUGAAUAUAAGAUUUUCUGUUUUUGAUUUGAUUUUGUUUUCUGAUAUGAUAUAGGAUAGUAAGAAUAGGGAUUGGAUCAAACUGUUUCCGUUUUCUGUUUUGAUUAUUGAUUUACUUAUUUAUUGAGGUACGAACAAAUGGUAAUUAAGAGGUAAGGGUUGGUCUGAUUGACUGAAAUGAGAAUAUAUGUGAUUAUACUGAAAUAUAUGCAGUUAAUGAUUUGAUUUCAUUUCGCCUCUUGUUAUGAUACGCUAGAGGAUCAUGAGGGAUUCCAUAUUGUUAGUUGACAUUUCUAUAUUUUCUCUGCAAUUAUGAUGAUUAUAAUGUAUCUAUAUAUACAUUUUUAAAGUACA